rnacentral:rRNA from 1 species
GGGGGAUAUUGCACAAUGGAGGAAACUCUGAUGCAGCAACGCCGCGUGAGGGAAGAAGGUUUUCGGAUUGUAAACCUCUGUUUUUAGUGAAGAAACAAAUGACGGUAGCUAAAGAGGAAGCCACGGCUAACUACGUGCCAGCAGCCGCGGUAAUACGUAGGUGGCAAGCGUUGUCCGGAAUUACUGGGCGUAAAGGGUGCGCAGGCGGGAUUGCAAGUUGGAUGUGAAAUACCGGGGCUUAACCCCGGAGCUGCAUCCAAAACUGUAGUUCUUGAGUGGAGUAGAGGUAAGCGGAAUUCCGAGUGUAGCGGUGUAAUGCGUAGAUAUUCGGAGGAACACCAGUGGCGAAGGCGGCUUACUGGGCUCUAACUGACGCUGAGGCACGAAAGCAUGGGUAGCAAAC